rnacentral:tRNA from 1 species
GCCAAUAUGGCUCAGCUGGCAGAGCAACGCAUUCGUAAUGCGUGGGUCGGGGGUUCGAGUCCCCCUAUUGGCU